GUUAGGAAUCUUCCACAAUGGGGGCAACCCUGAUGGAGCAACACCGCGUGCUGGAUGAAGGCCUUCGGGUCGUAAACAGCUUUUGUAUACGAAGAAUAUGACGGUAAUAUACGAAUAAGGGUCGGCUAACUACGUGCCAGCAGCCGCGGUCAUACGUAGGACCCAAGCGUUAUCCGGAGUGACUGGGCGUAAAGAGUUGCGUAGGCGGCUUAUUAAGCGAGUAGUGAAAUCUGGUGGCUCAACCAUUAACACAUUGCUCGAACUGAUAGGCUUGAGAAUGGUAGAGGUAGUUGGAAUUUCUUGUGUAGGAGUGAAAUCCGUAGAUAUAAGAAGGAACACCAAUGGCGUAGGCAGACUACUGGACCAUUUCUGACGCUGAGGCACGAAAGCGUGGGGAGCGAACCGGAUUAGAAACCCUAGUAGUCC
rnacentral:rRNA from 1 species